rnacentral:rRNA from 1 species
UACGUAGGGUGCAAGCGUUAAUCGGAAUUACUGGGCGUAAAGCGUGCGCAGGCGGUGAUGUAAGACAGAUGUGAAAUCCCCGGCUCAACCUGGGAACUGCAUUUGUGACUGCAUCGCUGGAGUACGGCAGAGGGGGAUGGAAUUCCGCGUGUAGCAGUGAAAUGCGUAGAUAUGCGGAGGAACACCGAUGGCGAAGGCAAUCCCUGGGCCUGUACUGACGCUCAUGCACGAAAGCGUGGGGAGCAAACAGG